rnacentral:rRNA from 1 species
ACGAACGCUGGCGGCGUGCUUAACACAUGCAAGUCGAACGGAGUCCAUUCGAUAGCAAUAUCGAAGAAGACUGAGUGGCGAACGGGUGAGUAACACGUGAGAAACCUAUCCUGGUCUCUGGGAUAACAGUUGGAAACAGCUGCUAAUACCGGAUGACGUCGGAGCACCGCAUGGUGCGCUGACGAAAGGGUUACCGGAUCGGGAGGGUCUCGCGACCUAUCAGCUUGUUGGUGGGGUAACGGCCUACCAAGGCGUCGACGGGUAGCUGGUCUGAGAGGAUGAUCAGCCACACUGGGACUGAGACACGGCCCAGACUCCUACGGGAGGCAGCAGUGGGGAAUCUUGCGCAAUGGGCGAAAGCCUGACGCAGCAACGCCGCGUGCGGGAAGAAGGCCUUCGGGUUGUAAACCGCUUUCAGAAGGAACGAAACUGACGGUACUUUCAGAAGAAGGUGCGGCCAACUACGU